GACGAACGCUGGCGGCGUGCCUAAUACAUGCAAGUAGAACGCUGAAGGAGGAGCUUGCUCUUCUGGAUGAGUUGCGAACGGGUGAGUAACGCGUAGGUAACCUGCCUGGUAGCGGGGGAUAACUAUUGGAAACGAUAGCUAAUACCGCAUAACAGUAGAUGUUGCAUGACAUUUGCUUAAAAGGUGCAAUUGCACCACUACCAGAUGGACCUGCGUUGUAUUAGCUAGUUGGUGGGGUAACGGCUCACCAAGGCGACGAUACAUAGCCGACCUGAGAGGGUGAUCGGCCACACUGGGACUGAGACACGGCCCAGACUCCUACGGGAGGCAGCAGUAGGGAAUCUUCGGCAAUGGACGGAAGUCUGACCGAGCAACGCCGCGGGAGUGAAGAAGGUUUUCGGAUCGUAAAGCUCUGUUGUAAGAGAAGAACGAGUGUGAGAGUGGAAAGUUCACACUGUGACGGUAGCUGAACAGAAAGGGACGGCUAACUACGUG
rnacentral:rRNA from 1 species